rnacentral:tRNA from 1 species
GUUUUUAUAGUUGAUUUACAACGGUGGUUUUUCGGGCCGCAGGUCUCGUAAAGAGUAAAAAUA